rnacentral:lncRNA from 1 species
UACGACACUAAGGAAUCACCAGAGCAACAUUUGUUUCGCUGGAUGAAUUUUUUUGGCUAAAAUUCAACGGUAGCAGUGGGCAGUAGAGGCGAACGACCGGGUAACACAGCGUUAGCUCAUUGCCAGAGUCACCGAGAAAUGACAUGGCCAAACAGAGGUGGAGUUUUUCGUCAAGAUCUGACCUUUUCCGACCACUUCUCCGGCCAAAACACUUGCACAAGAAUAUAAGAAAUAAUCUUAGAUCUGUAUCGUUUGCAAAAGAGAAAGAAAAGAAAAAAAAUGAAAAAGGAGAUGAGAUAAAGGUACAAGACAAAGGCAAUGAGGGUCAUCAAUGGUGGCGUAUCAAUUGCCGUCCAGUAGUGAAAUCUGACGGCGUUAGUGUCCACCCUACGUAGGAAAGAGAGAGAUGAGGGGGAGAAAAGUUCGUGGCUGCCGGCCAUCGUCAGAUCCGGCGGGCGGUAGAGGAGCUCGUGGGGGUGGCUAGUUCUCUCAAAUGAGAGAGAUGAGAGAUAAAAUUUAAUUAAGGUUUUGAG